GUUUAAUACAACUUUCUUAAUGUAAUGAUCGUAAUCUGAUCCUGUAGGUUGAUGUUGCUGAGAAUGGCAAAGAUGAUUCUGAAAUAUCAGAUGCUGAUAUUUUUUUCUUCAUAAACCUCUUUCCUGAUGGAUAUUCAAUCGGAACCCCUUCUGAGAAUUGGAUUGCCGUACAAGAUGAUCCAAAGUUCUUGCACCCGUAUGAUCAGACAUCAGAGAGCCUAUCCUUGGU